UUAAAGCAAAGUAUAAGGGAAUUGCACUCCAGUCUAGUAGGUGGCGGUAAUGCAACAUAUUGGAUGCCAACCGCCGUUAAACCUCAUCGAAGAAGAAAUAUCAGCGGGUACGUUGAUAUUUUGGCAACCUUUGCACUUCGACGCCAACCUAUAACAUUGCUCUAUGUAAAAGGAAGUGAACAGUGACUAAGAACAAUUUCCACGCUAGCGUUUACUGUUGUGAUUAUUUUAACUACACAGCAUCAUAUACUUACGCCAUGUAGUCUUUAAUUCGCGUUGGAGAUAGGACUCGGUUGAUAGACGUUAUAUAGGUAACGCAAACUGCUACCAAUGGCUGACUGUAUGGUUUUUCACACUCAAAUAGCCUCUAUCAUGGAGGUGCUAGCGAAUGCAGCAGUGGCAGAGAUUUGUAAACUCGUAGACGACGACUAUGCAGUGUUUCGUUUGGAAAUUUCUGAAAGCCAGAAACAAAACAGGGCAUUGCGGAGGAAAUUACAGAUUCAGGAACUGAAGGUGGCACGGGGGCGCGCAGACAGGACAAUGCGAGAGCGCGUCCUCGACAGUCGUCCCAGUAGUGUCAAGAUCCUCGACCAAUUCAGAGGAAUGGGAAGAGGUGGCAGACAUCUCACUGGAGGCCACAGGAGCUUUGUGAAGCCAGCGGGACACAAUACAUGGAGAGAUGACCAACCAAUCACUGUUCAUGAGGGGAGUGGAACCUCAACCCAGCAUUUUAUCAUGAUAGAGGUUAGUUUAAUAGUGUUGCAUUACAAAUUACAGUUACUUUGUAAAUCAAAUGUGUCCCGUUUGUUUCAGAAAGGCUCCCCUCAGCUAUUCACUUCAGCUAUCUGCCUUAGGGGAACUUGAGAGACUUCCCUACAACAUUAUCCAAUACGCCAUCUUUCCUUGUUUUGUAGAUUGAGAAUUUGCUUGAAAUGUGUGUUAUAUAUAUAUUAAAAUGUAUGUGUUUCCAAGGUAAUGUACUUACCAUAUGCCGGUUUUCAACGUAUCUGACAACCAAGAAGAAGCAUAAAGCCGAAACGUUAAUCAUUAAAUGUUUAGCUUUUUUUGUUGUUGUACUGACUGGCAAUGUUCAGUAAAAAAGGUCCAGCGUAAUCUAAUAUAAAGGUUUUUAUCGUCCUGUGAGUCCAACUUGAGCAGGCACGCUAACAGGGUUGCUGAGUUGUAGUGCAAAUGAGACUUUAAUAACUUAUUCUUAUUUCUUGAGUGUUAAAUAUUUAGAUAAAAGGCAUCUCAAUACACAAAUACGAAUAUAAUUGUACCUUCAAAAAGUAUUCACAGCUCUUGACUUUUUCCACAUUUUGUUAUGUUACUGCCUGAAUUGAACAUGUAUUAAAUUUAAAUGUUGUCACUGAUCUCCACACAAUACCUCAUAAUGUCAAAGUGGAAUUUUGUUUGUAGAACAAUUUAGAAAGUAAUACAAAAUGAAAAUCUGAAAUGUAUUGAGUCACAUUUUCAACCCCUUUGUUAUGGCAAGCCUAAAGUUUAGGAGUACAAAUCUGCUUAACAAAUCACAUAAUAUGUUGCUUGGACUUAUUCUGUGUUCAAUAAGAGGUUAACAUGAUUUUUGAAUAACUAGCCCAUUUCUAUACCCCACACAUACAGAUAAUUGUAAGGUCCCUCAAUCGACCAGUGAAUUUCAAGCAGAUAUUCAACCACAAAGACCAGUCUGCAGAGGCUGCAGGUCCUGGGGUCAAGCAGGAGAGGUCUGAAGGAGGGGAGGACCCACGGCACAGCAGAGACAUCCAGACUGGAUCAGCGACUGGAGUGGCGCCCCCUGUAGCCACGGCAGAACCCAACACCACCCCAGCGCAGCCUAGGACCCAAUGCAGCAUCACGGAAGUCAGUGGAACGCCAAACGCCGCCCUCAAGUCAGAGACGGACACCGAGACUUUAACGGGGCUGGGACAACUGGGCUGUCCUCCUGCUCCCCGCUCAGAGAAUUUACUUUACGGUAGCCCGAGGAUGGUUCUAUCCCAUCAGGACUCAGGUGACUCGUUACAGGCUGGCAAUGAUCAGUCUUGUUCAUACGCUACAGAGACACCUGGUGACAUGCCUGUGGGCUUAGAUACACAGACUAAUCCAAUGAGAGGGGAAAUUAACCUGUACAGUAGUAGUGUAUACUCUGAAGGGCACCUAGAAAAGAAAGAGGUUAUAGUGGUAGAUGAGGUGAAAGUGGAGGGUGAUGCACCUCUGACAUGGAAUGUAGACGAGACUCACUUAAGAGAAGGACACUCACUAGGCAACACCAGUGACUUCUUAGACUACAAUGUGGUGACCCACUCCCCUUUACUUACUUUCAGGGAUCGUGACCCAGUGUCCACGUCGAUGGCACCUUCUGAUUCACACGGUCGCGUCCUUUUCGAUCAGGUAUUGAACUCAAACAAAAGGAAUAGAGCUAAGGGUAAGGGAGGGGGAGCCAUAUCAGGCAAUAGUAAAGAGAAACGGUUCCUCUGCAUGUUCUGUAACAAAGCCUUCAGCUGCCCCCAGAAGGUGGAGAUUCACCAGAGGGUCCACACAGGGGAGAAACCCUUCAGCUGUACCCAGUGUCACAUGCGCUUCGCCCAGGCUUGCACCCUGAAGAGGCACCAAAGGGUCCAUACAGGGGAGAAACCCUACAGCUGUACCCAGUGUCACAUGCGCUUUGCCCAGGCUGGUAACCUGAAGAUGCACCUGAAGGUCCACACGGGAGAAAGGUCUUCUGACAUUUAGAUAAAAUCCUGCAUUAAAGACUGAUGAAUUGUCAUUGUUGUCAGCAUAAAAUAUCCACAGAUGCAUUUGGAAUACUGAGUAACAUAUUUCAGUGUUGAAUAUUCCUGGGUAGAAUAUUUCAUCCAGAUGUGUGAUAUAUAAGCCUAAAAAAUUGUUACAUGUUGUUUAUACUGUGUAAGCUAUAUGUUGGUCACAAAUGCCCAUUUAAUUUCUUCCAUUCAACUUCAUUUUUUCCACAAGAAAAUGAAUUCAAUUUAUCAAAUUCAUUCCGUUUUUUGUUGAGACGUGUGGUUUUCACAUGGUGUAUUUAACACUUGUUUCUGUUUAAUAAACACAAAAUGGGACUUUUCA